AAUAUUGGACAAUGGGGGCAACCCUGAUCCACCCAUGCCCCGUGGGUGAAAAAGGUCUUCGGUUGGUAAAGCCCUUCAGGUUGGGGGGAAGGCCUUUAGUUAAUUCCCCUGAAGUUUUACCUUACCAACAAGAUAAGGCACCGCCUACCCUUUGCCCGCAGCCGCGGUAAUACAGAGGGUGCAAGCGUUAAUCGGAAUUACCGGGCGUAAAGCGCGCGUAGGUGGUUCAGUAAGAUGGGUGUGAAAUCCCCGGGCUUAACCUGGGAACUGCUUUCAUAACUGCUGAGCUAGAGUACGGUAGAGGGUAGUGGAAUUUCCUGUGUAGCGGUGAAAUGCGUAGAUAUAGGAAGGAACACCAGUGGCGAAGGCGACUACCUGGACUGAUACUGACGCUGAGGUGCGAAAGCGUGGGGAGCAAA
rnacentral:rRNA from 1 species